GUGAAUGAGUAAUUUUGAUGGGAAGAAGAUUGGAGCAGGCUUCAUUCAGCAGCUGGCCUUGAAGCUUUUCUACUGCAAGAGCUCCAUGAGGGGAAAAGCCAGCGUGACAGAAGGCCCGGGAGUGGAGGCUCCCAAGGAAAGGGAUCUGCUGCAGCUGAGGGUCAUGCCAAACACAAGAUCUUCAAGUAUUCAUAACCUUGAGAAAACACACCACCACCUUGUGUGUGUGCAGAACCCUUCUGCUUUCCCAGAAACCAGCUGUGAGAUGGAAAGACAAGAGGCAGCUGAGACAAGCACCUGAAUUAAAUAAUUGAGUCGUGUUGAA